rnacentral:rRNA from 1 species
AUUGAACGCUGGCGGCAGGCUUAACACAUGCAAGUCGAGCGGGGAAAUAUAGCUUGCUAUAUGACCUAGCGGCGGACGGGUGAGUAAUGCUUAGGAAUCUGCCUAUUAGUGGGGGACAACAUUUCGAAAGGGAUGCUAAUACCGCAUACGCCCUACGGGGGAAAGCAGGGGAUCAUUUGACCUUGCGCUAAUAGAUGAGCCUAAGUCGGAUUAGCUAGUUGGUGGGGUAAAGGCCUACCAAGGCGACGAUCUGUAGCGGGUCUGAGAGGAUGAUCCGCCACACUGGGACUGAGACACGGCCCAGACUCCUACGGGAGGCAGCAGUGGGGAAUAUUGGACAAUGGGGGGAACCCUGAUCCAGCCAUGCCGCGUGUGUGAAGAAGGCCUUUUGGUUGUAAAGCACUUUAAGCGAGGAGGAGGCUUACUUAGUUAAUACCUGAGAUAAGUGGACGUUACUCGCAGAAUAAGCACCGGCUAACUCUGUGCCAGCCGCCGCAGUAACAC